AUGGGCUCCAGACUCCUCUGCUGUGUGACUCUCUGUCUCCUGGGAGCAGGCCUGGUGGAUUCUGAAGUCACCCAGACCCCCAAAUACCUGAUCAAAUCAAGAAAGGAGCAAGCGACUCUGAGAUGUUCCCCUGAAUCUGGACACCGUUCUGUGAACUGGUACCAACAAGCCCUGGGCCAGGGCCCCCGGUUCCUCGUUCAAUAUUACCGUGGACAACUUAGUGGAGAAGAAAACAUGCCAGAUCGAUUCUCAGCAAAACAAUUUAGUGACUUUCGCUCUGAGCUGAAUUUGAGCUCCUUGGAGCUGACAGACUCAGCCGUGUAUCUCUGUGCCAGCAGCCAAGACACAGCCUCGCAUGAUCAGGUGCCUCUGGAACAAAAACACUCCUGCCCCAGCUCAGGAAGUGGCCUUGAGGGUGUUGGCUGCCAGCCAGCCAGGCCCAGGCUCUGGUAG